rnacentral:rRNA from 1 species
AGCGAACGCUGGCGGCAGGCCUAACACAUGCAAGUCGAACGAACCUUUCGGGGUUAGUGGCGGACGGGUGAGUAACACGUGGGAACGUGCCUUUAGGUUCGGAAUAACUCAGGGAAACUUGUGCUAAUACCGAAUGUGCCCUUCGGGGGAAAGAUUUAUCGCCUUUAGAGCGGCCCGCGUCUGAUUAGCUAGUUGGUUGAGGUAAUGGCUCACCAAGGCGACGAUCAGUAGCUGGUCUGAGAGGAUGAUCAGCCACAUUGGGACUGAGACACGGCCCAAACUCCUACGGGAGGCAGCAGUGGGGAAUCUUGCGCAAUGGGCGAAAGCCUGACGCAGCCAGGCCGCGGGAAUGAUGAAGGUCUUAGGAUGGUAAAAUUCUUUCACCGGGGACGAUAAUGACGGUACCCGGAGAAGAAGCCCCGGCGAACUUCGU